GGAGCAGCCAUGGCUGACUGGUUACGGUUUUCGCUUAGUGAGUGAAUGAUCCUGGGUUCGAUUCCCAUCUGCUCCC
rnacentral:tRNA from 1 species